GACGAACGCUGGCGGCGUGCUUAACACAUGCAAGUCGAACGGAAAGGCCCUGCUGUGGUGGGGUGCUCGAGUGGCGAACGGGGGAGUAACACGUGAGUAACCUGGCCUUGACUUUGGGAUAACUUCAGGAAACUGGGGCUAAUACCGGAUAGGAGCUCCUGCUGCAUGGUGGGGGUUGGAAAGUUUCGGCGGUUGGGGAUGGACUCGCGGCUUAUCAGCUUGUUGGUGGGGUAGUGGCUUACCAAGGCUUUGACGGGUAGCCGGCCUGAGAGGGUGACCGGCCACAUUGGGCCUGAGCUACGGCCCAGACUCCUCCGGGACGCAGCAGUGCGGAAUAUUGCUCAAUGGGCGGAAGCCUGAUGCAGCAACGCCGCGUGCCGGAUGACGGCCUUCGGGUUGUAAACCGCUUUCGCCUGUGACGAAGCGUGAGUGACGGUAAUGGGUAAAGCAGCCCCGGCUAACUACGUG
rnacentral:rRNA from 1 species